ensembl:snoRNA small nucleolar RNA SNORA11
UGGGUGUGAAGAGAGCAGAGCGCCUGAAGAGUGGCUCCUCUGUGUUAUAACACAUCCAAAAGCAACUUGGGCUUACUCUUUACAGGUGGCAGGGUACUAUGGCCUUCCUGUAACAUUACACCCCAUACAU